ensembl:lncRNA
UCUCUCUCUCUCUCUGUGUUUGUAGUCUCUCGAUGGAGAGGGGUCAUUUAGCUGGAGGGGGUCUCUCUCUCUCUCUGUGUGUUUGUAGUCUCUCGAUGGAGAGGGGUCAUUUAGCUGGAGGGGGUCUCUCUCUCUCUCUGUGUGUUUGUAGUCUCUCGAUGGAGAGGGGUCAUUUAGCUGGAGGGGGGGUCUCUCUCUCUCUCUGUGUGUUUGUAGUCUCUCGAUGGAGAGGGGUCAUUUAGCUGGAGGGGGUCUCUCUCUCUCUCUGUGUGUUUGUAGUCUCUCGAUGGAGAGGGGUCAUUUAGCUGGAGGGGGUCUCUCUCUCUCUCUGUGUGUUUGUAGUCUCUCGAUGGAGAGGGGUCAUUUAGCUGGAGGGGGUCUCUCUCUCUCUCUCUGUGUGUUUGUAGUCUCUCGAUGGAGAGGGGUCAUUUAGCUGGAGGGGGUCUCUCUCUCUCUUUGUGUGUUUGUAGUCUUCAGUGUGUAAAAUGUAACCACACUUAAACACACUUAAAUGCUGAACACGCAGAUGUUGGGGUACUCACCAACCGGUCGAAGCAACCGGGAGAAGCUGGAUCAGGGUAGAGGGCCAGAACAAACCCUGGUCACGCCAAACACCAGGUUGAAUAAAGGUAAGCUAAGAGGUAUCAAGAGCAGUUAGAGAAAGUAUUUAAUAGGGUUAAAACAAAAGGCAGAAGGGCCUCGACAGCGGGGCUCCGGCGGGAGACAAUCGCGGGCAACAAUCCCUUUCUCCUCCAUGUCGUGGUUCAGUCCACUUCAGAUUGAUAGAUUGAUGUGGACGUGGAAGAACCAGAGACGUCGGAGAACCCGACGCAGUCGUUAGAGAUUAAUUAUAUUGUCUGGAGGCGCAAACAGCUUUUGGCCGUGAUAAUAUAUUUUAUAUGAUAUAGAUAUCUACGUCUAAGGUGAUAUUAUUGAGAUAUAGAGCUCCAGGACUCCC